UUAAACUCCUAAGCAGAAAACCUACCGCGCUUCGCUUUGUCAACCCCUCAGCGGCAAAAAUUAAAAUUUUUACCGCUUCGGCGUUAUAACCUCACACUCAAUCUUUUAUCACGAAGUCAUGAUUGAAUCGCGAGUGGUCGGCAGAUUGCGAUAAACGGUCACAUUAAAUUUAACCUGACUAUUCCACUGCAACAACUGAACGGACUGGAAACAC
rnacentral:rRNA from 1 species